rnacentral:rRNA from 1 species
CCCUUAGAUGUUCUGGGCUGCACACGUGCUACACUGGCAGGUUCAGCGAGCUUCAUGCCCUGAUCUGAAAGGAAUGGGAAAUCUUUUCAAAACCUGCCGUGCUUGGGAUAGAUGUUUGCAAUUAUUCAUCUUCAACGAGGAUUGCCUUGUAAGCGCACGUCAUCAGCGUGCAUUGAAUACGACCCUGUAUUCUGUACACACCGCCCGUCGCUCCUACCGAUUGAAGUUUUCGGUGAGUUGACAGGAGGAUUUUUUUGAAACUGGUUCGCCAGUGGAUUUUAGAUCCAAAUGCCAACGAAUCGAUGGCUUUAGAGGAAGGAGAAUUCGUAACA